GAGCCUGUCCUGGCCCUACAGAUAGGAGAUGAGGGGACUGUCACACACCCAUCACUGACAGCCACCUGCAGAAUUCGUGAGGGGCCUAGGACAUGGAGCUGCCCACCAUGGACAGAGACCUCUGAAACUGUGAGCAGCCUUCAUCAGUGAAGCUCUGUCCUGGGGCUGGCCAGGGGCUUCAGGACAGGGAAGCCCUCGGCACACCCAGCACCACACACGUGUGGCAGACAGACGAAGACUGUGACAAAAACAGCAAGCCAGGACACAGAGACCCUCUGCCAUCGACCAAGCGGGGUCUGCUGCUGAAUGGAAAGGGAGCAGGCAGGAGGGGACCCCAUCCUGGACCCUCAUGGCUCCUCACCUGCCAUGCACCCUCACCAUAGGAGUGAACCAAUGGAACCCGACAAAUGCCUGGAUUGGGGCCCCCGCCCGAGCUCACCUGGUUCUACUGACAGCCCAGGUGGAGGCAACGGCGGGGUGAGCAGCUUCCAUGGGGGAGGUGAGGUCGGAGA